GACGGAUCGCGGGACCGAACGACGGACGCCCGGGGCCGGCGUGGGGCUGGUCGGCUGCCCGGGGCGAGGGCGGGAGACUUCCUGCUCAGAACCAGUCCGACCAGCUUGGCGCUGGGACGCCUCCCCGCGCUGUGCCGCGGCCCGGGGUGCCGAGGAGCUGGGCUGGGGGCGGGGACCCCUGCCGGGAACCCGACUUAGCCCGGAGACGCUCAAGAGCAAGAAGCCGAGCGGAAAAGUUAGCGCAGGUUGUGGAAAUCAUAUGAGUUCCCUGCUAGUGACAUUGGAGUGCACAGAUGAAUAUCGACAAGGCUCCAGGGAGUUCUGAACAGAGGCCAAGGCAGGCCCUGGAGCUGUAUGCUGCUUACAGGAAAAGAGAAAGAGGGGACCCCAAUAGUCUAGGUCCCUGGAUCCUCUGACCCGGGGCCUGACACUGUCAGGGAAGCUGCUGUCUCCCUAGGGACCUACUGAAUGUUCUUCCCAUGGCUGGUCAGUGCUGACACCUCAACACAGGAAGAGAAAUACUCCUAUGAAGUCAUCUGAAGCCUGGUCAUGCCAGGGACACUUCACGAAGGCAGGAACAGUCCUGUUUCUAAAAGCCCAAAAUCUAACAGCCUCUCUACAGAUAUAAAAGCCCAAAGACAUGGAAAGUUUGUAUGCAGACAACCCUAGAAGUAAGGAAAAGUGAAUGACAUAUAUGUCAAUGCCCAGAAAGUUCCUUGAGAUCAGACACUGUACAUUUAUGGGAUACUUUCUAAGUGCCAGCUACUGUACUUGGUGCUGGAUCAGUGCAUCCAUUUCCCGGGGCUCCCGUGAUGAAGUGCCACAAACUGGAUGGCUUUAAACAACAGAAGUUUACUCUCUCACAGUUCUGAAGGUUAGAAGUCUGCCAUGAAGAUGUGAGCACAGCCAGCCUCUCUCCAAAGGCUCCAGAGGAGAAUCCUUCCUUGCUUCUUCCCAGAGCUCCUUGGCAUACAGCUGCAUUACUCCAAGAUUUGCCUCUCUUGUCACACAGCAUUCUGCCUGUGUCUCUUGUUUGUGUUCAAGUAUCCCUCCACCCUAAUUUAGUAUGACCUCAUUUUAGCUUGAUUAUGCCUGCAAAUACCCUAUUUCCAAAUGAGGUCACAUUCACAGGUACCAGAAGUUAUGAAUUGAACACAUCUUUUUUGGGAUGUGUUCUACCCAUUAUAAUUCAUUCUACCCACUAUAAUCACAAGUGGCUUUGACAUUCAGUGACACAAAGAUGAUAAGGACUCGGUUCCUGACCUCAGGACAUUCUCAGUCUAUCAGUGAAGACAAACACAUGCUGGUGAACACACACACAUACACAAGCACACAUAUACCCCGAGCCUCAUUCAAGUCAGACUGUGAUUAAAAAUGGAAAUUGUGUCAUCAGGAGGGAUUGGGGAAGUCUUCACACAAGAAAGAACAUCUAAGUUGGGCCUUGAAGGACUUGAGGUUGGCCCGCAGAUCCAUGGACACCUUGUGCUUGGAGCCCAGCAGGGCCCGGAGCAUGGCGUCAGCCGAGACACGGACUCGACGCAGGGGCGGGCGCUUGAACUUCCCACGGAGGUCCAUCACCUUCAGCUUCAGGCCUAUAAGGAGGAUCAAAGGCUAUAACGAACAUGAAAGCACUUCACAAAGCUUUGCACAGGAUCAGCUCUGCAUGGAAUAGGAUGGUCCCCCCAGGACUGGACCAGCUCUCAGAGUGGGUGAGGAAGAGCUUGUGCUCAGCAAGGAUGCAGAGUCACACCCAACCCUGCUGCAAUACCAGUCCUUCCAGUGACAUGGUACACUGGCACAGCAACUCCCUGGACACUAGGAAGCCCCACAUCCAGAAUCUUCACCUGACGUUUCCAUCUCCUGGGAAUUUGUUCAGCCACUAAAUACCCUACACCCCCUGGACUCCCACCAGGCCUUAACACAGGCUCUUCCCUCUCCUCAGAUGCCAACCCCACCUUCCCACUUUUACCAGUCGUUAGAGUUAACCAAGACAGAGAUACCCCAAAUAUCACUUACCUCGCUUCAGGCAUCCAUCACAGGAAGGACGGGGAAAGAGCAGAACACAGAAAUUUGCAACAGAAACCUUAUGUGAGCUACAAAGCUAUCUGGCCCUUUCCAGAUAAAGCUUGCCAAUCCCAGUGGAGAACAGAAUGGAGUCCAUAGGAAAUAUGUUUGGAAAGUGAGAGCAGCUGGGCGCAGUGGCUCAUGCCUGUAAUCCCAGCACUUUGGGAGGCCAAGGCGGGCAGUUCAUGAGGUAAGGAGUUCAAGACCAGCCUGGCCAAUAUGGUCAAACCCCGUCUCUACUAAUGAUACAAAAAUUAGCCAGCAUGGUGGUGCACGCCUAUAGUCCCAGCUACUCAGGAGGCUGAGGCAGAAGAAUUGCUUGAACCCAGGAGGCGGAGGUUACAGUGAGCCGAGAUCGCACCACUGCACUCCAGCCUGGGUAACAGAAUGAGUCUCCUUCUCAAAAAAAAAAAAAAAAAAAUAAGUGAGAGUGUAGCUCACUCAUGAGGGCCUUGAAGGACAGGCUGAGUUUAGACUUUAUCCUGUGGAAUAAGGGUGGUCAUUGAAGGGCUCAGAGAGAGGAAGGCCUAGAAAGUGAAUGAGCAGAGUGGAUGCUGGAAAACGGGUAGCUGCCACAUGGCACAACUCCAUCCACAGAUGGCAAUGCAACUGGCACCUCCAGGGUGGGGCAGUGGGAGGCCUUGAGUGGGAGAGAAUAAGCCGCAAGGCAGGGCAAAUCCCGUGUUCACCCUAGUCUGUCUUUCCCCUCUCUGGGUUGGUUUUCCUCUCUGCAAAAUUAGGGGUUAAAUCAGUGAGUUUCCUCUUGAUGUUUAUUAUUAAUAAUAAGUAAUUAAAAUAAUAUUUAAUUAAUAUUAUUUGGUUGAAUCCUUUGUC
rnacentral:lncRNA from 10 species